rnacentral:rRNA from 1 species
GAUGAACGCUAGCUACAGGCUUAACACAUGCAAGUCGAGGGACCGGCGCACGGGUGAGUAACACGUAUCCAACCUGCCCUUUACUCGGGGCUAGCCUUUCGAAAGAAAGAUUAAUACCCGAUAUAAAGGAUGGGGAUGCGUUCCAUGAGGUUGUUGGUGAGUUAACGGCUGACCAAGCCUUCGAUGGCUAGGGGUUCUGAGAGGAAGGGCCCCCACAGUGGAACUGAGACACGGGCCAAACGACUACGGGAGGCAGCAGUGAGGAAGAUUGGUGAAUGGGCGCUAGCCUGAACCAGCCAAGUAGCGUGAAGGAUGAAGGCUUAUGGGUCGUAAACUUCUGUUAUAUAAGAAUAUGUAGUAUAUGAAUAAGGAUCGGCUAACUCCGUGCCAGCAGCCGCGGUAAUUC